UCCUCCCCCUUUCUUCGUGCCUAAUACAUGCAAGUCGAGCGGACGGAUGGGAGCUUGCUCCCAGACCGUCAGCGGCGGACGGGUGAGUAACACGUGGGCAACCUGCCUGUAAGACUGGGAUAACUCCGGGAAACCGGGGCUAAUACCGGAUAACUCUUUCCCUCACAUGAGGGAAAGCUGAAAGAUGGCAUCUCGCUAUCACUUACAGAUGGGCCCGCGGCGCAUUAGCUAGUUGGUGAGGUAACGGCUCACCAAGGCGACGAUGCGUAGCCGACCUGAGAGGGUGAUCGGCCACACUAGGACUGAGACACGGCCCAGACUCCUACGGGAGGCAGCAGUAGGGAAUCGUCCGCAAUGGACGAAAGUCUGACGGAGCAACGCCGCGUGAGUGAUGAAGGUUUUCGGAUCGUAAAACUCUGUUGUCAGGGAAGAACAAGUACCGGAGUAACUGCCGGUACCUUGACGGUACCUGACCAGAAAGCCACGGCUAACUACGUG
rnacentral:rRNA from 1 species